rnacentral:lncRNA from 1 species
CUGCCAAUGAGAAGUAAAAAAUAUUUGAUUGAAGUUUUCAAAAGAAAGAUAUUGACAAAAGAUGUUAGUAUAGGAAUAUAAUUUUCAUGUUUUGUUGAAAAGAAAAAUUCAUGUAGAAUAUGAAAUUUUGAAAUUCUUAUAAAAUAAAAAAUUGAAUUUUUUUUUUAAAAAAAUAUUUUUUUAAACUAUCAAAAAAAUCUAUAACUAUAAUGAACAUUUUCUCCAUCACAACACCUCAAAUCCUCAUCCAUCAUGAUU